rnacentral:rRNA from 1 species
CCUACGGGCGGCAGCAGUGAGGAAUAUUGGUCAAUGGGCGCGAGCCUGAACCAGCCAAGUCGCGUGAGGGAAGACGGUCCUAUGGAUUGUAAACCUCUUUUGUCGGGGAGCAAAAGACGCCACGCGUGGCGUUCCGAGAGUACCCGAAGAAAAAGCAUCGGCUAACUACGUGCCAGCAGCCGCGGUAAUACGGAGGGGGCGAGCGUUAUCCGGAUUCACUGGGUGUAAAGGGAGCGUAGACGGCCAUGCAAGCCAGGGGUGAAAGCCCGGGGCCCAACCCCGGGACUGCCCUUGGAACUGCAUGGCUGGAGUGCGGGAGGGGCAGGCGGAAUUCCUGGUGUAGCGGUGAAAUGCGUAGAUAUCAGGAGGAACACCGGCGGCGAAGGCGGCCUGCUGGACCGCGACUGACGUUGAGGCUCGAAAGCGUGGGGAGCGAACAGGAUUAGAUACCCGAGUAGUC